GACGAACGCUGGCGGCGUGCCUAAUACAUGCAAGUCGAACGCUUCUUUCCUCCCGAGUGCUUGCACUCAAUUGGAAAGAGGAGUGGCGGACGGGUGAGUAACACGUGUGUAACCUACCCAUCAGAGGGGGAUAACACUUGGAAACAGGUGCUAAUACCGCAUAACAGUUUAUGCCGCAUGGCAUAAGAGUGAAAGGCGCUUUCGGGUGUCGCUGAUGGAUGGACCCGCGGUGCAUUAGCUAGUUGGUGAGGUAACGGCUCACCAAGGCCACGAUGCAUAGCCGACCUGAGAGGAGGAUCAGCCACACUGGGACUGAGACACGGACCAGACUCCUACGGGAGGCAGCAGUGGGGAAUCUUCGACAAUGGACGAAAGUCUGACCGAGCAACGCCGCGUGAGUGAAGAAGGUUUUCGGAUCGUAAAACUCUGUUGUUAGGAAAGAACAAGAACGGGAGUAACUGAACGUGCCCUGACGGUAUCUAAACAGAAAGCCACGGCUAACUACGUG
rnacentral:rRNA from 1 species